ensembl:lncRNA
AUGGAUAUUAAUAAUCACUACUGUUUCACAGGCUGCAGGUUCGAAUCCUGGGACUGGAGUGAGCACCUGCUGUUAGCCCCAGCUUCUGCCAACCUAGCAGUUCGAAAACAUGCCAAUGGACUUUUUUCAUGUCAGGAGCAACUUGAGAAACUGCAAGUUGCUUCUGGUGUGAGAAAAUUGGCCAUCUGCAAGGACGUUGCCCAGGGGACGCCUGGAUUUUUUUUGGAUGUCUAACCACCUUGUGGGAGGCUUCUUUCAUGUCCCCGCAUGGAGCUGGAGCUAACAGAGGAAGCUCAUCUGCGCUCUCCCUGGGUUGGAUUUGAACUGGCAACCUUCAGAUCAGCAACCCAACCUUCAAGUCAUCAGUCUUUCCGGCACAAGGGUUUAACCCACUGCACCACUGGGGGCUCCACAGGGAUAGGCAAGUAAGACGACGACAUCAUCAUCAUCAUCAUCAUCAUCAUCAUGGCCCCUUUUCUGUUAUCUUAUUCCCAGAGCCUUUCUCAUUUCAACAUGCUUCCGUUUUUCACUGGAUGGGUUGGUGCAAUGGCCAUGUUGGCUUUUAAUAUGUACAGUUGAGUCUCACUUAUCCAACAUAAACGGGCCGGCAGAACGUUGGUUAAGCGAAUAUGUUGGAUAAUAAGGAGAAGCCUAUUAAACAUCAAAUUAGGUUAUGACUUUACAAAUUAAGCACCAAAACAUCAUGUUAGACAACAAAUUUGGCAGAAAAAAAUAGUUCAAUACGCAGUAAUGCUAUGUUGUAAUUACUGUAUUUAUGAAUUUAGCACCAAAAUAUCACGAUAUAUUGAAAACAUUGACUACAAAAAUGCGUUGGAUAAUCCAGAACAUUGGAUAAGUGAGACUCUACUGUAAUAGGUUUAAUUUUUUCUACAUUGUUUAUAUGGGGCUGGUUCUUUAAUGCUUUUUAUUUUUUAUAUUUAGAUUGUUUUGGCUUUUUAAAAUGUACCUUGUUUUCAUGUACCAUCUUGGCCCCAUAGGUUAGAAAAGUGAGAUAUAAGUUCAAUAAACAAGUACAUACAAUUUAGCUAAACAAACAUUUAGGAAUAAUGUGGCAAUGGAUUGUUGGAGGGCUGUGGCAGAGUCAUUCUGAUUCUCACAGUCCCCGAAUCCUAAAUUUUCCAAGUUCUGAUAAUUUUCAGCUAUGCCACUACCUAUUAUGCCAUACUCCCUGCCAAAGCAUUCCAUAUGCAACCUCAAAUUAAAAAUCAUGGAUUAAAGGUAAGACUUAACUUUGCAACACCCCUCACUGAGUGAUUUGACUUUUUCAAAAGCAUGUUUGCUCAGUGCUUGCCAACUACUUAAUCAGCGAAGGUCGUGGUGGAUGUUCAGCCCGAUGAGCUGCUGUGGACCUCUGCGUAUGUCACAGCCCCCACUGACUUUAAUCAGAUUUUUUCUCAUUAAAAUCCAAACCAACAGCGAGCAAAGGCUGAAGAUUUGGCUUGUUGAAGCAGGAGGCGAUGGAGAUCUUUGGAGAUAGCCACUUAGAAGGUGGUAUCAUUAUCUUUCAGCCGAGCCAGACUUGGCAGUCGUGUCAAAUGAACUCUUAUUUUGCUUUAACGGCAUCCGCAGCCGCUGUCUUAUCAAAAGUUGGAAUGGUAGCAUAUGUUUGUAUGGGGGGUGGUGAGUAGUCAAUCCGACAAAAGGAUGAGCUGAAUCCUGUAUGUGGAUCCAGGAUAUACCUUUUUCCUAAGGAGUUUCUUUGAUAGUGCAAAGAAGUUGUUGAUGGCUUCUGGAUCUUUAAAGAAUUAUUUUGAAAAAUUGCAAUUUAAAGAAAUAUUAAACUCCAUGCGUGCAUGUAUGUGUGAGAGAGCAUGUGUGAGUUUGAGACAAACUAAUUUGAAGGGUAAUCUUCAGUUGUGCAGGUUUCUAGGAUGACAAUUGUUUCUUCUUCUGUUAUGUGCAUAGCAUUGAAUUUUUGCCGCAGUUUGUAAAGCCACUCAGAGUGCCCUUCGGAGUGAGAAGGGCAGGGUAUAAAUAAAGUAUAUUAUUAUUAUUAUUAUUAUUAUUAUUAUUAUUAUUAUUAUUAUUAUUAUUAUUUUGCUAGAAAAUGAGCGAUCCAAUGGGAAUAGGGUUGUUAUUGGAAGUGCAAAAAUAGCCUAGAAGGAGAGGUCAUACAUAUACCUAGAGCAGUGGUUCUCAACCUGGGGUCUCGAGAUGUUUUUGGCCUUCAACUCCCAGAAAUCCUAACAGCUGGUAAACUGGAUAGGAUUUUUGGGAAUUGUAGGCCAAAAACAUAUGCCAUCAAGUCAGCUUUGACUUAAGAUGACCUCCCCACAGACCCAGGCUUCCUUGGUCAAGUCCAUCCAUUUACGAGGGCUAUCCAGAAAGUAGAUUACGUUUUGGAAUUAAAAAUGAACAAAGUAUAGGAGAAAACAUUUACCAUAUGCAAUUGAAAGCCAGACCACAAAUACCACUUCUCAACAUAGUCCCCAUUGAAAUCUAGGCACUUCUCAUAGUGAUAAAAGAGUUUGGAAAGUCCUUCCCCACCAAA